UGAAUUCGGCCAAUUAUUCGA
rnacentral:piRNA from 1 species